GACGAACGCUGGCGGCGUGCCUAAUACAUGCAAGUAGAACGCUGAAGGAAGGAGCUUGCUCUUUCCGGAUGAGUUGCGAACGGGUGAGUAACGCGUAGGUAACCUGCCUGGUAGCGGGGGAUAACUAUUGGAAACGAUAGCUAAUACCGCAUAACAGUAGAUAUCGCAUGAUAGCUGCUUAAAAGGUGCAAUUGCACCACUACCAGAUGGACCUGCGUUGUAUUAGCUAGUUGGUGAGGUAACGGCUCACCAAGGCCACGAUACAUAGCCGACCUGAGAGGGUGAUCGGCCACACUGGGACUGAGACACGGCCCAGACUCCUACGGGAGGCAGCAGUAGGGAAUCUUCGGCAAUGGACGGAAGUCUGACCGAGCAACGCCGCGUGAGUGAAGAAGGUUUUCGGAUCGUAAAGCUCUGUUGUAAGAGAAGAACGAGUGUGAGAGUGGAAAGUUC
rnacentral:rRNA from 1 species